GUCCUCGUAGUUUAACGGAUAGAAUAUCUCCCUCCGAAGGAGGUGGUCGAGGUUCAAUUCCUCGCGAGGGCA
rnacentral:tRNA from 1 species